ensembl:lncRNA
GUUUGAUUGAUACCAGACUUUCCAUGGAAUGGACAAAUAAGUAAAAGAUGAAAAAAUAGAAAAAGAAAAACUUUCUUUUUCUUCAGCUUGUCCUGAUGUUUUCACAGGCAAAGACUCAGAGCCUUCUGCUGGCCACAGGCCUGCUUGAGCUAUGUGGGUUCUGUGCUGUGUGUUACGUUGGCUGUGGUGUGGCCAGAUGCACGUCACUUCACUUUUUAUUUCUUGUUAAUUGAAACAAAAUGUAAAGUUGUUCGUUUGGUUUUUUGCAUAGCCAACUCCUGCAAAUGUUUGCAUCCUUUAUGGAUGCCAUUUCAGUGGUGUGGGUUUCACUAUUCCUUGCCCUCAGAAGCAGCUCCCUGCAGCCAUCUACAAGUUGUUCUCAUUCAAAUCCAGCUUUUCAUCAAAACAAGAAGAUAUCCCAACAGCAAUCUGUACAGCCUCUAAGAGCAGGAGACUUUGGCCCAGGAGAAGAGCUUGAAGGCAGUAUAGAUAAAUAAACCCGAACAGCAAACAAGCAGACUAGAUUUCCCCUUCUCAUUAUUCCCUUUAUUUUUGAAGACAGAUGAGAUCAGUGCGUCAGAAGCAGAGGUCCAGUUGUGUAAUUUGAUGUGCAGUACGUUCAGGAGCAUGUGUCUGUGUAUCUGUGAGCUAUAUUUGGAUGUACAGUCUAUUAAAAGCCCGGUGCAGUCACCCCCCGGCAGGAGUCAGAGCCCCCAUCCGUGGUGUUGACUGCCUCAGGAGAGGACUGGAGCCCACCCCUGCUUGACUUCUUUUCUCCAGGACGAUGGCUAAAGACAGCAUAUCCCUGCGCUCCCUGAGCAAGACAUUAAACAGUCUGGCACCUGCUUCCCCUGCUGGCACCUGUCCAUGUGUUCCACUGCACAUAACAGCACCAUCACUGCUCGGUGGUGUCUGAUCAUCCAGGUGGGCAACAGCAGCAGCACCAAACGAGAGCCACAGCCGCUGCUUGUCAGGAAGGGAAGAGUGGAAAAGGGGUCUGAAACCUGCACAGUUAAAAGACAAGGUGAGAGGGUGCUCCCUUUCAGUGGAUUUUCAUGUAUAUAUGUCCAUAUGCACUACCUGUGCUGUGCAAGUGCUAUCAGCCAAGGAACCUGUGCUAACUUAGGUGCACGUGUAUAGCUGGUUUACAGGUAGGAAGAAUUUGGAGUGUUCUGUGUGAGUAUCCCUGCUGCUGAAAUGCAGUACUUCUGCUCAUGAGAUAAUGUUUCAGAUAUUGAUACUUGCUUUUAUAUUCAAAUUACAAAAGCACUUCAAAGAUCAGCCCUUUGCUGCAACAGCAGUACUGCUGUAACAGAGACAAUCUCUUCUUUGAAUGUGAAAAUCACCAUCAGACAACAACAACUCCACCACCUCUGUGUUCCAGGUUGCUAGUGUUAUGCCAUGCCAACCAACCUAUGCUAGGGAGAAACUAAAUGUAUGUAUUAUCCAAACAUCUUCAAGCAGAGAACCUGAAUUCAUUUAGGUCCACGUGGUGUGGACAAGGCUGCGGGGUACAAGUCUAGCCACACCACCUGAAAGAUGCUGUGUGUAAUUUAUCCUACUUGUUAAAAAGGAAAACAAUAAGUUACUAGAGGUGAAAUAGGGCCUUAAGAAGCAAGAGAUAAAGAUGUUGAUACAAGGUUCAGCACAGGAAGGCUGCAAUUUAAGAUCCAGCUCCCUAAACAUGAGGACGAUGCAAUGAUAACAGUAACAGAAGAAGGGGAAGGAGCUGUGGAUGAAGAAGGGCCAAAGAAAAAAUAAAGAGUUUUGUUUGUAAUAAAAUGUGGCAAUUACUUGAUGAAGCCUGAAGUUCUGCCAGGAAAACACAGAAAAAUCACACAAAUCAAUGGGAGCAGCUGAUAUUCUAAUAAAUCACUACUAAAGUACAUGGUGCCCCGUGAUUUGUUCCAUGUCGAGGGAGGAAUUCUGAAUGAUGGGUAUUUCCAUAGCCUUGAGGUUCCCAGGAGUCGAAAGAACAGACACUGACAUAACACAGUGAUCUGAGGCAAACUUACAGAACGUUAUCUUCACAAAAGCCACCACCAGGAUGAAAGAAGCCCAGGAAGUCCCACUCCUGGAGUAAAACAAAGAAUGGAAAACAAGCACAAAGCAUUUCAUUCCCCGUUCCUUUUCAGUAGGCAUGGUAAGUUCUCAACUAAGCAGUUGUUUUUUGCUGCAAAGGCUGUAUUCAGGAAGCUCAAACACCAAAAAAAAACACGCCAUAUUUAGGAUUUUAAUGUAAGAGAGCGCAAAGAUAUAGUUUGUUAAUAAGGAAAACUACAGCGGAUAUCAAGCUAUGAAAAAGCAGUGAAUAAAUACCAGCUACAGAACACAGCAGUGCUGUUAUUGCUGUUUCACUAACGUCCUCCCGUCGUGCAUUUGUUCUGCAGGAGAACCACCAUACAAAAGGGAAAACCAAAGCAGGAAAAGCCAGCAGAGAACAAAAGCCACUGAGGGCAGCUUGGUUUAUUAUUUGCAUAAUUUGUUAUCUGGGGAAGAACGAGAAGUUCUGUUCGAUGUCAAAUGAAAAGGGUUGAGGAGGUCAGGACAGCGCAAGUAAAAGGAAAAACGACCUCAGUGUUAGAAAAAAUAAAAGUACCUCCUACCACUGACAUCCAUGCAAGUGGUUGAUACCUACAACCCAAACACAGGUAUACCUAACACAAACCUUUCCUACGGCUCUGUCUGCAUUUACAAGCUAUGAGAUUUCUACACCGGGGAAGGGUCAAAGGGACAUAGGUGGCAUCAGAAGAUGGAAUUUCAAACGGUGUAUGAAUCUGUAAAAGAAGUGAAUGAACUCACAGUUGGCUUGGGAGGAACCUCAGUAUCUGGCCUGGAUCAGCUCAGUGGAAUGCAUCACCACACGCAGAAAGCACAGCGCGUUGAGGCCCAGGUUCUAAACCAAUGCUUGUUUCCCACUCUCCAGAGUAGAAAGCAGGCUGCAAGCCUUGGAGACGCGGUUCCAAGACCUGGACUCAAGCCUGCAGAAGCUGGAGCAGAAGUUUGAGGUGCAGGCCGAGCUCCUGGAGAAGGAGAGGAGCCAGGACACAGCGUGGACAUCGGCGCUGGAAGACAGGUGGGCAGCAGGGGAGGGCCAGCACCAGCUGCCCUGAGCCCUGCACCUGCAGGCAGUAUGUGCACUGCAGUGUGUAUUUAUACAGCCUGGGUGCAGCCUGAAUUACCACGUGCUAUGGAGGCAGUAAGGUUCGUUUGAUUUAAGUCGCAGACAGCUGUUCAUUUGAAAUAAAUAUUUGUGUGGUAAAGAGCCAUACUACUUCCCAGAGACCAGGGAUGGGGAAAAAAGAACACGGGUGUUCUGACUCCCUUCUCCUAGUAAGGCCCAGAGAUCGUACUUUGAGCACUAACUCUGAGGUUAGAGUUCAAUAUCACGAGGCUGUCUGUCUUCUAAGAGAGCACGCUGACAUCAGUUAGCGGAGCAGCUGUUGCUGAAGUGCCGCCGGAGAGGCCGCGCGGUGCAGGUAGCCGCCUUACAGCACGAGCUGUACAGAAGCGCUUCUCACCUACACAGUCAGACCGCACAGCGCCGCUCCCAGCCGGAAGCUGCAGCCCAGCUGCGGGGCCGCGCGGCACGGAGCGCUGCGGCUCUUCCUGUUUGCUGCUCCCACACGGAGCGC